CCUACGGGUGGCAGCAGUGAGGAAUAUUGGUCAAUGGGCGAGAGCCUGAACCAGCAAAGCCGCGUGAGGGAAGAAGGCCCUAGGGAUGGUAAAUCCCUUUUGUAAGGGAGCAAGGAGCGCCACGAGUGGCGCGGUGAGAGUACCUGAACAAAAUGCAUGCGCUAACUCCGUGCCAGCAGCCGCGGUAAUUAGGAGGAUGUGAGCGUUAUCCGGAUUUAGUGGGUUUAAAGGGUACGCAGGCGGGAGCGGAAAGUCAGCGUUAAAAUUGCGGGGCUAAACCGCGCCGGGCCGUUGAAACUGGUCUUCUAGAGUGGUCGAGAGGUAUGCGGAAUGCGUGGUGUAGCGGUGAAAUGCAUAGAUAUCACGCGGAACUCCGAUUGCGAAGGCAGCAUACCGGCGCCCAACUGACGCUCAGGCACGAAAGCGUGGGUAUCGAACAGGAUUAGAUACCCGAGUAGUC
rnacentral:rRNA from 1 species